CUUGCUGCUUCAACUUUUGCCUCAGAUCAAAUGCACUAUCUGUUCUUAUCAGUUUACUAUCUGAUAUGUCCUCUGUUUGAGGACAAAACUGCAAAACAAAACAAAACAGUGGUUCUCAACCUUCGGGUCGGCAACCCACAGGUUGAGAACUGCU
rnacentral:snRNA from 1 species